rnacentral:rRNA from 1 species
GUGUCAGCCGCCGCGGUAAUACGGAGGGUGCAAGCGUUAAUCGGAAUUAUUGGGCGUAAAGAGCUCGGAGGCGGCUUGUCGCGUCUGCUGUGAAAUCCCGGGGCUUAACCCCGGGCGUGCAGUGGAUACGGGCAGGCUGGAGGCAGGCAGGGGAGAACGGAAUUCCCGGUGUAGCGGUGAAAUGCGCAGAUAUCGGGAGGAACACCGGUGGCGAAGGCGGUUCUCUGGGCCUGUUCUGACGCUGAGGAGCGAAAGCGUGGGGAGCGAACAGGAUUAGAUACCCUGGUAGUCC